rnacentral:rRNA from 2 species
CGGGACUGGGCGGGCGUGGCUAAUACAUGCAAGUCGAACGCACUCUCGUUUAGAUUGAAGGAGCUUGCUCCUGAUUGAUAAACAUUUGAGUGAGUGGCGGACGGGUGAGUAACACGUGGGUAACCUGCCCUAAAGUGGGGGAUAACAUUUGGAAACAGAUGCUAAUACCGCAUAAAACCUAACACCGCAUGGUGUAGGGUUGAAAGAUGGUUUCGGCUAUCACUUUAGGAUGGACCCGCGGUGCAUUAGUUAGUUGGUGAGGUAAAGGCUCACCAAGACCGUGAUGCAUAGCCGACCUGAGAGGGUAAUCGGCCACACUGGGACUGAGACACGGCCCAGACUCCUACGGGAGGCAGCAGUAGGGAAUCUUCCACAAUGGACGAAAGUCUGAUGGAGCAACGCCGCGUGAGUGAAGAAGGUUUUCGGAUCGUAAAACUCUGUUGUUGGAGAAGAAUGUAUCUGAUAGUAACUGAUCAGGUAGUGACGGUAUCCAACCAGAAAGCCACGGCUAACUACGUGCCAGCAGCCGCGGUAAUACGUAGGUGGCAAGCGUUGUCCGGAUUUAUUGGGCGUAAAGCGAGCGCAGGCGGUUUCUUAAGUCUGAUGUGAAAGCCUUCGGCUCAACCGAAGAAGUGCAUCGGAAACUGGGAAACUUGAGUGCAGAAGAGGACAGUGGAACUCCAUGUGUAGCGGUGAAAUGCGUAGAUAUAUGGAAGAACACCAGUGGCGAAGGCGGCUGUCUGGUCUGUAACUGACGCUGAGGCUCGAAAGCAUGGGUAGCAAACAGGAUUAGAUACCCUGGUAGUCCAUGCCGUAAACGAUGAGUGCUAGGUGUUGGAGGGUUUCCGCCCUUCAGUGCCGCAGCUAACGCAUUAAGCACUCCCGCCUGGGGAGUACGACCGCAAGGUUGAAACUCAAAGGAAUUGACGGGGGGCCCGCACAAGCGGUGGGAGCAUGUGGGUUUAAUUCGAAGCAACGCGAAGAACCUUACCAGGGUCUUGGACAUCCUUUGACCACUCUGGAGAUAGAGCUUCCCUUCGGGGACAAAGUGACAGGUGGGUGCAUGGUUGGUCGUCAGCUCGUGUCAUGGGACAUGUUGGGUUAAGUUCCCGCAACGAUGCGCAACCCUUAUUACUUAGUUGCCAGCAUUUAGUUUGGGCCAUCUAGUGGGACGUGCGGGUACAAUCGGAGGACAGGUUAGGGACGACUUAUCGUCUGUGCCCUUGAGACCGGGGCCCUCCAACGUGGUCCUACAAUGGAUGGUACAACGAGUUGCGAGACCGCGAGGUUUAGCUAAUCUCUUAAAACCAUUCUCAGUUCGGAUUGUAGGCUGCAACUCGCCUACAUGAAGCCGGAAUCGCUAGUAAUCGCGGAUCAGCAUGCCGCGGUGAAUACGUUCCCGGGCCUUGUACACACCGCCCGUCACACCAUGAGAGUUUGUAACACCCAAAGCCGGUGAGGUAACCCUUCGGGGAGCCAGCCGUCUAAGGUGGGACAGAUGAUUAGGGUG